GACUGCAGAUACCAUGUUACUGAUAUCUUGUUUUUAACUCUAGUUGCUGUCACUUCAUGAUUAAUAUACAACAUACAGGGAACCUGAAUGAAGCAAGUUAUUCCAUGAAAAAAGUGAAUGCUAUUUUCCAGCAUGUGAUUUAUUUAUUUAGCAAAUGAAGACGGGUACAGCUUGUUUAUGAAAUCUGCUAUCAGUGGUAGAGCAGCACCGUAGGGCAUUUUCAUAUUACCAUAUUAAAACCCAUCAUUUACCAACCCACCCCUAGUCUAGUGUCUGAUCAGAAGGGCUGGUGUCUCUCUGAGAAUUUAUUCCAGCAUCAGAAUAAGUAAGUGCUCUUUCAGAUUUUGAAAACAGUUGAAAAAGUAGCAGCUUUUCCUCUUUGUGGUCACUUACAAUUUACGCAGACUUGGCACUGGCUGUUACUGCAUUAACAGCUCCUCAGCUGUGAGGAAGGUGCUUGCUUUUUAGGAGGUUUGUUGUCAUUGGAUACUGCAGUGCUGAUGUACAUUACUGGGAAGUGCUAUUUUUACCACAAGUCUGCCUCAGCCUCUGGCAAUACCAGCUACUUGAACGCAGUUCCUGCCUCUCUGGUUGGCAUCUCUGUUGUCACACAGACAAAUGCUGCCAUUUGUUUAUUUCUGCAUCCCCAGGUUGCUCUCUGGCACUGCUCACCCCAUACCUGCUUGCUCAUUUGUGCUAAGAGCAGUUGUGCUUUGCUUCUAGAGUGUAUCCUCCAUAUUGACAAGGUGAGCGUUUGCUGCCUUCCGCAUCUCCCCAUCUUAGCUCUGGGCUAUUUCAGGAAAGAAGUAUUUACUCCUGAGUCCUGCUUUGCUUUGUAGCCAGUGCUGCACAGAACAGCUUGGCUUGUGUGACUGCACAUAGCAGGAAGAUGGAGUGUGAAGUUGGUCUUUGUGAGAUAGUCUGGGAGAUUUUUGCUGCACGCAGCCUCUUUGUGCCAUGCUCUCCAGUCUCAGGCAGUGUUGCUGGUGAGCCCUGACUGCCUAUUGUAGCAAAGCCUCCUCUGCAUUACCAGUGCAGCAUUUUCUCUUGCACUGUGAAGCCAGAGAUCAGAGUCUGGUGCACCAGAGUCUGUAUUCUACCAGCCCAUGACACCUGGCACAUGUCAAAGGUGCAGAUCCAUGAACUGGAGCUGGUUGUAUGAGCAUCUCCAAGACCAAAUGCUGGGUCCUGCAACAAGCUAUAGACUUGGGAAGAGUGACUGGAGAGGUCCUCAGCAGAAAAGGACCUGGGGGUGCUGGUUGACAUCCACCUGAAUAUGGAGAUAUUUAAAAGAUGUGCAGAUGCACCAGUUAGGGGUGUGGUUUAGAGAUGGACUUCGCAUGGCUGGGUGAGUUUAGGUUAAUGGUUGAACUCAGUGGUCUUAGAGGUCUUUUCUAACCUAAUGAUUCUCAGCAAAUACAGGUCUACAAUAGAGCAGUGGAGCAAGGGCUUAAGUGUGCCUCUCCCCUUUUCUUUCUUCUCCACAACCAAUAGAAAAUUUCCAUUUCUUUUGGGCAAUAAAAUGCUCUCUUUUUCAUAGACACUGCUCUUUUCUCCACCAGGGCAGGUAAGGGUGCAUCUGCCCAAGCUAGAAUGGUGUCUUUCUUAUCUACUCCAAAAAUAAGAACAAAUAUAAGAAUUACCUCUCUUCCCCAGGUGACUGGGUAGAAGCUGCAGACAAAAACUGGCUUUUCUGUGCAAUGACAGUGACAGUGUGUCCAUGCCAUCCAUCCCUCAUAGUCAUACACGCAACACUGCAUCAUUGCAAGUGACAUCUGCAUAUGCAGCAAGGACAGAGCAAUUGCAAAUCCCACAUCAGGGGGAGGACCAUUACUAUUGCAUUGAGAAUCUGGAAACUAGGACUUGACAGAAGUUGUGUUGAUGGUGUAAGCUUCAUCCAGCUCAUCUCAGGCCUGUGGUGUGGUAGUAGGGGCAGGGCCAGCUCUGUUUCCCCCAGGGUGCCACACUGAUACUUGAUGGGUUUCUCAGCAAGAUGAAAGUUUGAGGCUGUGUGCAAACAGGUGCUGGUUGAGGGGGGGAGAGCCAAAGCACUUGUAGCUUUUCCUCUCCCUGGAAUGGGCACUGGAGGAGUGAGACACGUACUGAUUUGGAGAGGGUGCUGGGGGCAUUCCAGGGUGCUUGGACUGGUGACAUGAGAGUCCUGGGUCAGCACACACCUCUUUGCUCAUUCCCUAGCUUUUUCCUCAUGGUGGAUUGAUGUUGGCUAAUGCCAGGUGCUCACCACACCACUCAUGCUGCUCCUGCUCCCGCUCCCAGACAGGGGGAGAGAAAAUUACAAUAAAAGGCUCAUGGGUUGAGAUAAGGACAGGGAAAUCACUCACCAGUUACUAUCACAGGCAAAACAGUCUCCACUCAAGGAAAUUAAUUUAAUUCAUUGCCAAUCA